rnacentral:tRNA from 1 species
GCGGAGGUGCCGGAGUGGCCAAACGGGAUAGGGGGUUUCAAUAAUUCUUUUUAUUGUACCCAUCCAAGCUUAGGACCUAUUGGCUUAGUGCCUACGCAGGUUCGAAUCCUGUCCUCCGCA